rnacentral:lncRNA from 1 species
AUGCCCCAAAAUCUAAUAGUUGAUAAAUAAGGCAUUUACUAGAAUUAUGUGUGAAAUAACUUAACUAGGAUUAGUUAACCUAGUUUGUUUUUCUAUGUUAGUUACAAGAAGGAAAUAAAUAAAUUAUCAAAACUACAAGGGUUGAACUUGUACAUUUUAAUUAAAGUUUGGUUAAGUAGUGGAAGAUCACAAACAUCAGACAUAAGUCUGAUGUUGGUGUCGAUGCAAGCCAAGGGCCAAGAAGGGUUUCUCAUGAUGAUGAAAUGUUGAAGAAUUGAAGCAAAAUCCAGCCUUAAUUCUCUUGCAUGUGUAGAGAUUCUACAUCAAAAAGCUAUAUGAAACAUGUGGAACGUGUCAAGGAGAGCUCAAGCAUAGGAGGAUAACGGGUCAAGAUAAGGCAAGGUGACAAAUACACUUAUUGGAGUACUCAAGGUAAGUGAUUUCUAUAAUCACUUCUUUAGUUGUUUAAGUAAUAUAAUGUUUUAAUUAUUAAGUUCAUAUGAAGUUGAGGUCAAAUCAAUAGAUUAUUUUGAUAAAUGCACGAAUGGGUCGAAUAAUUCAUAGAUGAAUAACAAGCCGAAUACGUAUAAGUUAAGAAAUUCCUUAACUCGGAUGUUGG